GAACCCUUAGCUAGUUGUUUUGAACCUAAAAGAUGGCGGAGAAUCCUCCUAGAAAAUUGGGAGAGGAUGGAGGACCAGAAGAUUUCUACCAUUCUGAUGAUAUCUUAUUAUGUAUGCGGACGGUCGCAAAAUGAGUAUCCAAUAUCAGAAAGAGUAUCACAGGCAGGUCAGGGAGAGCGAGGGUUUUGAUAUCACUCUGGAUUUGACUUUGGAUGCUGCUAUUGGUGCUCCAAUUAUUGCCCAACGAGGGAUGAAAAACAAACCCAAAUUUGUUCUCCUCUCCCAGUUAGCUAUUGAAGAUUUCAAUUCACAGAAUGCUACAAAUUACAAAUUUGUGAAAAAUGUGACUGUGAACACAUCAUAUGCUGCUGGGAUGUGGUGUUAUAUCACCUUUCAAGCCAGGGAUGCUGACGAUACCAUAAAGACCUUUCAAACAUUGGCGUGGUGGGGAAUUGACGGAGAUAGAGAUGUGAGAUUUUGCAGGUUUAAGAAACCAUCCAAGUGAUGAAGGUCACCUCGAAAACUCUCUUGUUUUGGUUGGAUUGCUCUUCAUGAAUCAUGUCUUCCCACAAAGAUAAUCUGAGAAGAAGAUUAUUCAGCUUAUGUAAUACUCCUUGGUGUUAAAUGUGUAAAGAACAAAUGAAAGGUGAUAAGAGAACUCGUGAUUCCGAUGUUGAGAGAAGCUGUGGUUAAAAUUUGAGUGCAUUUUGUGAAGUCUUGGCUGAGUUAGAUCGAACAAAUUGGAGUUGACUCAGCGAAGAAAACAACCCGAGCUUCAUUGUAUUAAUCACUGGGCACUGGCUUUGUUUGAAUUUCGGUUGGGAGUCUUUGGUUACAAAUUGAGAUCUAUUGGAGAAGCUUAGGUUGAGUUCGGAUUACAAUUGUGAAGCAACGGUUCGAAUAAUUUAAUGUCUUUCAAGAACACGUAACUCUCUCAGCAAGGUUCGUUAUCAGGUAUGGGUACUGGGUACUGGGUUGGGGCUUAAAAUGGCUUAGAAGCCCUCAACCUGGUCCUUCCGUCAAAUUAAGGAUAUACUUGAUCAAUAUUAAGACGACCGGGAUAUAUUUGAUCGAAUAGUCCAAUUGUAGAAGGGUAUAUUUAACCCUUUUCCGUUUCAACAAUCACUUUUUCACAAAAGUACAAAACUUAGUAGGUGUUUUGACAUAAAAAUUGUAUUUUUUGAAAAAAAGAAGAAGUAAUAUUUAGAGUUAAGUUGAACAAUGAUAUUUGGAAUUUGAAAUUAUAUUUGGACAUGCAUUUUACUUGAAAAAUAUUGCAAUUUGUGAGUAGGGAAAAGAGUU